rnacentral:rRNA from 1 species
UGACCUCAAUCAGGUAGGACUACC